rnacentral:rRNA from 1 species
UAAUACGUAGGGUCCGAGCGUUGUCCGGAGUUACUGGGCGUAAAGGGCACGCAGGCGGCGCGAUGAGCCCGGCGUGAAAGCCCCCGGCUCAACCGGGGAGGGUCGUCGGGGACUGUCGCGCUUGAGGGCAGCAGGGGGUGGUGGAAUGCCCGGUGUAGUGGUGAAAUGCGUAGAGAUCGGGCGGAACACCCGUGGCGAAGGCGGCCACCUGGGCUGCACCUGACGCUGAGGUGCGAAGGCGUGGGGAGCGAACGGGAUUAGAUACCCCGGUAGUCCACGCAGUAAACGAUGCCGACUAGGCGUGGGGGGACUUGACCCCCUCCGUGCCGGAGCUAACGCGGGAAGUCGGCCGCCUGGGGAGUACGGCCGCAAGGCUA